AAUUUUGUUGAGUUUGUUCUAUUUGUGUGGAUGACUUUAAUUACUGGCUGAGUAUACCUUAAGUGUGUAGAUGCUUAAGCAAGCUACUAAUUAAUGGUGAGUCUUGAAGAAAAUACUAGUUUGCUAGCGUGAGCUCCUUUAUGCCAAGAUGCAUACAUAGCGUGCCAAACGUGAUGCAAAUUUCCUUAGUGUUGGCUAAUGAUCUCAUCAAAGUGGAAUAUAUCUCAUGGUUUUGGUUGAUAACUUCAUAAAAUUUGAGCGUCUCCUAUGGAAUAACUU
rnacentral:misc_RNA from 1 species